rnacentral:sRNA from 1 species
UAUCCAUCCCAUGCGGGAAGGAUGAGAAGCUUCGACUUCGAGCGGAGCGAGAAAGCGUUGCCGCAGGCAACGACCCGAAGGGCGAGGCGCAACGCGCCGAGUAAUCCUUCCCCCACCACCA